rnacentral:tRNA from 1 species
UAAAGAGUUAGUUAAGAAAUAAUAUUAGGUUGUCAGCCUCAUGUCACUAAUUUAAUUUAGUACUCUUUAU